rnacentral:lncRNA from 1 species
ACCCUGCCUCCCCACGCCACCAUCACCCUUCCUCCGCCGGCGCCGCGACCCCCACCCCCACCGCCGGCGCGCGUCGCAAAAUCGGCGUGGCCGUCGACCUCUCCGACGAGAGCGCCUACGCGGUCCGCUGGGCCGUGCAGCACUACAUCCGCCCCGGCGACGCCGUGAUCCUGCUCCACGUCAGCGCUACCAACGUCCUCUUCGGCGCCGACUGGGGCUCCAUCGACCUCUCCAUCAACACCGACCCCAACUCCGACGAGGAUGCCGUCAGCGCCGUCAACAACAGCAACGACCACAACAGCAAGCGCAAGCUGGAGGACGACUUCGACGCCUUUACGGCGUCCAAGGCGGCGGAUCUCGCGAAACCGUUACGGGAAUUGCAGAUUCCGUUC